GGAGGGGGGUGCUAUACUGCAGUCGACGAGUUCUCGUUGAUGAUCGGUGCUUGCACCGAGAUUCAACAUGGAACGAGUGGCGGACGGGUGAGUAACACGUGGGUAACCUGCCCUUAAGUGGGGGAUAACAUUUGGAAACAGAUGCUAAUACCGCAUAGAUCCAAGAACCGCAUGGUUCUUGGCUGAAAGAUGGCGUAAGCUAUCGCUUUUGGAUGGACCCGCGGCGUAUUAGCUAGUUGGUGAGGUAAUGGCUCACCAAGGCGAUGAUACGUAGCCGAACUGAGAGGUUGAUCGGCCACAUUGGGACUGAGACACGGCCCAAACUCCUACGGGAGGCAGCAGUAGGGAAUCUUCCACAAUGGACGCAAGUCUGAUGGAGCAACGCCGCGUGAGUGAAGAAGGCUUUCGGGUCGUAAAACUCUGUUGUUGGAGAAGAAUGGUCGGCAGAGUAACUGUUGUCGGCGUGACGGUAUCCAACCAGAAAGCCACGGCUAACUACGUGCCAGCAGCCGCGGUAAUACGUAGGUGGCAAGCGUUAUCCGGAUUUAUUGGGCGUAAAGCGAGCGCAGGCGGUUUUUUAAGUCUGAUGUGAAAGCCCUC
rnacentral:rRNA from 1 species